CGCGUAGGCGGUUGAUUAAGUCGGAUGUGAAAGCCCUGGGCUUAACCUGGGAACUGCAUUCGAUACUGGUCGACUAGAGUACGAGAGAGGGAGGUAGAAUUCCACGUGUAGCGGUGAAAUGCGUAGAUAUGUGGAGGAAUACCGGUGGCGAAGGCGGCCUCCUGGCUUGAUACUGACGCUGAGGUGCGAAAGCGUGGGGAGCAAACA
rnacentral:rRNA from 1 species